rnacentral:rRNA from 1 species
UACGUAGGGGGCAAGCGUUGUCCGGAUUUAUUGGGCGUAAAGAGCUCGUAGGCGGCUUGUCGCGUCGUCCGUGAAAACCUGGGGCUCAACCCCAGGCUUGCGGUCGAUACGGGCAGGCUCGAGUUCGGUAGGGGAGACUGGAAUUCCUGGUGUAGCGGUGAAAUGCGCAGAUAUCAGGAGGAACACCGGUGGCGAAGGCGCCACUCUGGGCCGAAACUGACGCUGAGGAGCGAAAGCGUGGGGAGCGAACAGG